rnacentral:lncRNA from 1 species
GAAGACAGUCAUGAGAAAUCCACUGUGUGUCCCAUGACUGACGAUUUCUAGUAGUACAAUUUAAAUAAUGUUGGUUUUAUUCUUCACAAUAGUUAUUAAAUGAAGCAAACAAUGACUGAAGAAACAUGCAUUGUGAACUUAUUUAUGCAUCAUAUUCCUUCCCUCUGAUGCCUCCGAAGUGCAUUUGGACCUAUGAGCUUUUAUAAAAUACAGAGAUAGGGCACAGUGGGUAAGGGUAUUGGAUCCAGGGCCAGGAAGAGCUGAAUGCAAACCCUGCCAUAGACACUUUCUGGCUGGGUAAUCAAUCAUUGGCAAACUCUCAGACUCAGUCUCCUUAUCCAUAAUAUGGGUAUAGCAAUAGCAUCUACUUCCCAAGGUUAUUGUGAAGAUGAAAUGCAAAGUGCUGUGCAAACUUUGAAGUGAUACAUGAAUGGAAUUCAUCAUCAUCAUCAUCAUCAUCAUUGUGUAAAGAUUAAAUUUAACUCUCCCUGAUUGUAAAAAUUAAAUUAACUCUCUUGCCAAUUUUUAGAUUUAAUCACCAAAAGUGUAAGCACCCUACUUAAAAGUUGAGUGGGGAGAUCUGUCCAUUUUUAGAUUUAAUCAGCAAAGGUGUAAACACCCCAUUCACACUUGAGUGGGGGAGGUCUGUGACCCAUGUGUGUAAUAAUGGGUGAUGGAUCAGAAUUAAACUGACUGCCCCGGGCAGUCCUAAAGCAAAGCUUCAACUGUGAUUUGUAGAGGCAAAAUUAAGGGAAGGCACAGGAAGUGAUGCAAAAGAAAGGUCUUUAAAAGGGAGUUACAACUUCCUGUGAUACAGUUCUUCAUCUUUUAGAGUUGAGAGUGGAGAAGAAUCUGCUGGCUGGACCUGAGACCCUGUUCCUGAUGAGACUGUUCAUAAAUCUCUUCCUUUGGACUGACACAUGGUGAAACAUUCCUGGUUCUUUCAGAUUCCUGAUUAUGCCUGGUACACAGCAUACUUCAGAGGCUCUUCAGUAUCCUGGCUGCCCUUAUCUGGAACCACUUUAACUUCUUUUUCUCAAAAAAAGAAUAAUAGGAGACCUUGCAGACAUUUUGUUUGUUCCAUAUAACUUUUCUCUUUGUCUUGUGUGGGCUUUCAUUGAGUUGGUCAGUUAAUAUUGGAGGAGUUGGGACAGUGAGGUGGCUUACUGGAAAGAGAGCCAGUCUUGAAGUUGAAAGGUCCUGGGUUCAAAUCUAACCUCAGAUGC